UAAAGUACUCCUCUCCGAAAAGGAUGAUGAAGGACAUUGGGAGCGCGACCUUAAUACCACCAUCAGAACCUUAUCGGCUUGGAACGAUCCACAACAAAUUCAGUAAGGCAGGUGUCUUGCACCCUAGGAUCAAAGUGGCUGCUUUUAUUUGCUAGAAAGUGUCUCCUGUAGUAAGAUAUUGAAGCAAUCUUUUUGCAACCUGUGCUCUAAUAGUGUUCUAGUGCAUGGUGUUGAUGCCUCUCGACAUGGAACCUUUGUGCCGACAUGUGGUAUUCACAAUGGGUAGGUGCUUCAUUGAAUAUCUCAUUCUUUUUCUAGUUUGGGAUGUCCUCUCUAUGUCAUUUCCUUGAUAAUGGUACUGGUGUAGCAUAAUGUUUGAGCAAAUAAUCAAUCGAAUGAGGGGGUGCUCUAUCCUUUAUCGAAUGUGUAGGAAUUUUGAAUGAGUGUUGGCUUUUAGGCAGCCUCAUUUAGCAUCAAGAAGUUUCUUUGAAGUUUGGAUGACGACAACAGUGGCUAUACACUGACCAAAAUGGAAAAGAAGUCCAAGAAUCCAAAUAAGCAUGUGUCCUUUGGGGCAACAGACCAUAGCCUACGUGGAGCCAUUCACGCAAGAUGUUUUCAUCUCCAAGCAAUUUGUCUCGGCUCGCUCGCUCACAGGGUCGCAUGCAAGCAGGUUGCUAUUGUGGGUACCAAUUCUGAGGACAUCAGAGCUUACUGAAGUCUCAGUUGGACAUACUAGCAUGUUUGGCCUUAGGCCAUAUUUUGGCAGACCAGGCGGGGGAAGCUGAUGUGUACUCUGCUUCCUACACUCCAAGAGAGAGGGACAAGUUUGAAGGAAAAAUCGAAGCAGUAGUUCAGUCUCUAAUUGACAGUGGUAUUGAUAUUUAAGUUUAUCUUGACUGAUUUUCCCUCCUUGAGCAUGAUCUUGAUUGUGUGCACAACUCCUAGUAGGAAUAUACUGACAUCUUUGAUAUUGUUUUGAGAAUACGCAGGAUGUAGUGUUGGUUCAUUUGCUGGUUUAAUAUAGAUAAUAGCGACUGUUUGUUUGACA